GCGGAAGUGUCGGAACUGGCAGACGAGCUAGACUAAGGAUCUAGUGGCAGAAAUGUCGUGCGGGUUCAAGUCCCGCCUUCCGCA
rnacentral:tRNA from 1 species